rnacentral:misc_RNA from 1 species
AUGAAGAGCAUCACGCCCAGCAGAGGAAACUGUGCCACGUAUUAUGUGACGUGAAGCAGGUGACAUCCAGGAGAAGGUCCAAGAUGUUGGUCGCCGGUUCGGUGCAGUGGCUGUUAGGAGUUGCGGUGUUGGUGGCGGUGACUAACGACUGUUGCCGAGCCGCGGUCCACGGGAAUGGCGGCAAAAGCUCGGACUCCUCGCAGAACAGCCUGGAGGAAUCCUCGCCCUCGGGGCCGUACUUCGACACGACCGCCUCGAAGAAUGUCACGGCACUCCUGGGAAAGACGACCUACCUGAACUGCCGGGUGAAGAACAUCAGCAACAAGACGAUGUCGCUGCAGGUGUCCUGGGUGCGCCACAGGGACAUCCAUUUGCUGACCAUCGGCAGCUACACCUACACCAGCGACCAGCGGUUCAGGGCACUGCACAACAUGCGCUCGGACGACUGGACGUUGCAGAUCAAGUAUCCCCAGCACCGGGAUAGCGGCAUCUACGAGUGCCAGGUCUCCACGACACCUCACAUGAGCCACUUCGUCCACCUGGAUGUCGUCGAGCCCAGCACCGAGAUCGUCGGUGGUCCGGAUCUCUACAUCGACAGGGGCAGCACGAUCAACCUCACCUGUGUCGUUCUCCACAGUCCGGAGCCCCCGGCGUACAUUCUGUGGAACCACAAUAACACGAUAAUUAAUUUCGACUCCAGCAGAGGUGGAGUGUCGGUGGUGACCGAGAAGGGCGACAACACCACCAGCUCCUUGCUCGUGCAGCAGGCUAGGCCCUCGGACUCGGGUCGCUACACUUGCAACCCCAGCAGCGCCCAGCCCAAAUCGAUCACCGUACACGUACUCAACGGAGAGUAUCCCGCGGCAAUGCAGCACGGAGGCCAAGCCAAGCAGCCGAGGCUCUAUUCGCUUCUGCUCUGUCUGUGUCUACUGCUCUACUAGUUAAGUCACGCGAGGGCCUCGUCUCUUUCUAUCUCUCAGUCGCCAUUCGGUGUCGCGGAAGAAAAGGAAGAAGAAAAAAAAAAGAAAAGGAACUUUUUGUAAAGGAGGCGGUGAUCCUGUAUAGACUUAAGUAGCGGGUCUAGGCGAGACAAUGGACGUUGCCGCGAAUCACGGCGACCACGAGGAGUCCCGAAAAAGAGGAGUCGAAGAAGAGCAUCCAUUCUAAAUGGCGGCUUCGUCAACCGACACCGCGGAGCUGUCAAAAACCACGUGGAAGGGACGCGCACCAGGACUCAACCAAAAUAAGAAAAAGAGUGGAAAUUGAAUCCCUCGCCAGAAGAAAAAUUAAAAUCAACCUGUGGGAGUGGUUAAUCCCCCGAGAGAUUAAAAAAAAAAUCAAAUACCGCGCAUAUCUUCCAAGAGCUGCCGAAAGUUAUAGGAAAACCACGUGGAUUUCGUUGUUGGUACUUUUCUACCGAGGGAGGGGUAUCCAGGGACGGUGGAAAUUAUCCCCCGAUAAAUUUCCCGGCGCGUUUUUCCCCCUUUUAUCGGCAAGUCGAAGUUUCGCCGGUAUCGGCGCAUCAUUGUUUGCCGGAGACGCGUGAACGCGCAACCCUUUAUUACCGUAACAAUGGCGGCCCCGAUAGAGAGUGCGCCGCACCGACUCCGAGGCAUUGUGCAAUUGCGCGUGCCCUGCUCGGCAAAAAUGCACCCGAUGGGAAGAUUAUUCUAAUGCAGUGGGUCGUACGCGUCCUGGAGGUAUUGCGGAGGAAACGCGGUGGAAAAAUUCGUCAGAGCUGGCGCGAAUCUGCCGAAGCGGUUCGACUUUCGGGGCCGCCGAAGGAGGCCGCGCGGCGCGUCCCGAAUCUCCUGGAGUUCCAGUUUUUCCGAAAAAACGAUCCCCCGUGGGCUGAGUGUCGAGACGCGAUAGUAAUCUGCCGAAAAGCGGAGGGGGCGAGGGGGGAACGGCGACACGGUCGAUGAUUAAUCGGGUCCAAAGAACCCGGACGAUUACGGGGCAUAUUGCCGGCAAGAUGGCGGCCGCCGCGUUCCAGUUCCACGGUCGCGCUUUAUAUCUCCCGGUGUCCUGGCGGCGUUUGUGUGCCAGCCGAAGCCUUAAUAACAUUAAUUCAAUGCCCAUACGAAUAUCGAGCGGUUCUUUAUCAACGGCGGGACACGCACCGAAAAUAAACAGCCGUCCCCCCCGCGGUCUUGCCGCAAUUUCCGGGGCCGCCUCGCGAGGCUUUCUAGGAAUUUUCAUGGGCUUUUUAGCCCCGUUCGCCGGGGCCGUUUGCACGAACGGACCUUCGUGACCGCUUGAAAAUGUAAAAGGCUAAAAGAAAAUGCGAGCAUCGACUCCAGCCAGGACGGAUUUCCGUAUCAACGAGUACCGAUUCGCGGACCCUCGACGCGCGGGACCGAAAUGGCGGAUCCGAAAGCACUCGGGAAAGAGAUUAGGAGAAAGUCGCCAAAUGCGUGAUAGUUAAAUCGUACCCCAGGUGUUUUAUUGUCAGUAAAAAUUUCUGACAUCGAGUAUUAGGUGUUUACACGGAGUGUUAUAUGUCACGGAUAACAACAACGAAAUGAAGAGUAUGACGUGUCGCGAAAAAUUAAUUAAAUGCUGACGGGAGAGGAUUUAGGGUAUCUAGUACGUAUUUGGUAACUUUCUCCCACCACACGACCGGAGGACGGUUUCUACCCCGUCUCGAUUCUUCAUUCUACCUCGUUUAUUGUUCGGCUCGCUUUUCGAGGCCCCGAAACUCGAUCCGGAAUGUCAGACCGAGUGCAUUCGGGCAAAUAUUUUCCGCCCUCUGUAUCCGCGCCAAAAGGAAUCGGAAUUCGCCGGCUAACUCGCUUUUAACUUUGCUAGGGAUUUUCAGGGAGGUUUCCGGUCCUCUUGGGGGGUCGUAUUCGUGACUUUGAACGAGGCCACACCCUCGCGACUGGACGCAAAACGUCGAUUAUGCGCCGCGACGGCCGCGUUCGCGGUCUCCAAAAUGGCGGCGCGCACCCCUUGCCGGGGAAGAAAAUUACUUUUGGGUGUAAAAGGAAUGGCCGGGACGAAAAAAAAAAAUCAGGAACCGCUGCAGAGGACUUGUGCUCGACGCACUCGCGGGCGUAAACUUGUUUUCCAUAUUCGCGGGAUCAUAAAUAAAAUGGAAAACCUCGGCGCGACAAACAUGGCAUGACGCGCGAUUGGCCGGCGAAUGUUCAAUAGCCUCCGCUCUCUGUUUUGGCAGCGUUCCGAUAUUUGCCGAGAGAGCACUGCCAGCCCUCGGUGCAGUAAUUACUGACUCGAUUCGUGCAGAAAUCGGAACUUCUGCUACAAACACUGCAGAGAUGAAACGUCCCCGAGCGCCAACCGAUGGAUUUCUCCCAGCUCCGUGAUAGCCUUUAUUUAGAAACUAAUCCGCCAAUUUUCCGUCGCCCAGAAAUGUCAACGUCAAUCGAGCGCGUUCUCCACAUUAAUUUCCCAAUCGUCGUUCGUCGAAUACGGCAGACCCGCGAGCGCCUUGAGCCUUCCCUCGUAUUUCCGUAAUUACGGGGAGAAAAUCGAGGAAAAGGGAAGAAAAUUAACUCCCUGGGAGGAAAUUUCAACGUUUCGGGGAAACUCAUCGUUGCCCCGCGUUGAUAAACAUCCCGAGGCAAAUGUACGAACGCAUAAUUGUGGCCCGAUGGGUACUGCGAAUUUGUAAUAAGUAGAGCGUAAAAUCCGCGAAUUCGUAAAAUUGCUGGCUGGUUCGGCUAGAAUUUUGAGGAGUAAUUCGAUGACCGUUAAUGAAAAUUAAACCCGGCCAAAUGAAAACCGCGAAUUUUCAAUGAGGAAGGCGUAAAACUCGGCUUUCGUAAAAUCGCCAACCGGUUAGGCUCGCAUUUCGAGGAGUAAUUCGAUGACCGUAAUGAAAAUUGAACGCGGCCCCCGAUUCGGCCGCCAUUUCCGGAGACCUCGAUGACUGCCGAUACACACCGGGGAUUUCCUGAAAUCCCUGCAGGAAAUUUCUCCCCGAAUCUGGGCGGGAGUAAUUGCUGGCAACGUUCUGUCAUUUAUUUCAGCACGCGGGGCCGAGCUGACGGUGAAUAUCGGGACGCGGAACCAGCGAGCCAACGAACCGAGAAAAAUUCCAUUUACUCCUCGACCCUGCGCCUUUUAUCGAAAUUCAGGAUCCGCGGAGGAGAGGCUCGCCGCGCCCCUUUUUCCCAUUAAUUCUUUUCCCCUUUCGCCGUUCCUCCGUACAUUUCGCAUCUUAGAUUCGGUAUCGAUGCCGGCUCGCUUCGAGCCCCUCGACUUUUCCGCGUCCAACGACGCAGGCAUUACUGCCUGUCAGACGUGCGUUUUACAGGGCAUACGUGCCAUCGCACCCGCUCUGUCGGUGGGUGCAUCGUGGAAAAAUUUAACGACCUUUAUGUACUCGCGCGAUUUCCUCUCUCGCGAGCGCUCCCACUUGUUAACGAUCGCGGUGGCCUCCCAUGAAUGGGAACGCGAUGGAAAGUGUCACAUCCGAGUCACACCUCCCGGCCUAUUAAAUGAAUUACCCCGAAUCGACGAUGCUUCACUGCUAUAAGGAAAAAAAUAUUCCAAAUUACCCCUGACCUAAUGAACACCGUUUCCCUCCCUCGCGAGGUAUCCUCGAAAAGCAGACCAGGAAUGUUCGUGAAAAUUUUUGCGAAAAAAAUACGCGAGGUUAUUCUUUCAAAUUUUUCGGAAAAACCCUCCAGGCUAUUCGUCCAAAUUUUUCAACGAACACAGGCAGCUCUGGCCAGUCUCUCUGCAUAGUUUUCGCUUAACAUCGGCCUCGAGUUUCGAUUUGACCAAUGGUCGAGUUCGAUGGCCCAAUCGCCAGUUAAACUAAAACUUGAAGCGCGAGUUCCGUUCCCAAGCAAAGGCGCCGUAACGACCCCCCAGGAAACCCGCAAAACCGAAAUCGCCCUUUGCACGACGUCCCGACGUGUAAAUCGUGCGACGUCACAAGUUUCAUAUUUUGAAGCGUUCCGAGGACCUCGAAACAUUUUUUUAAAAAUUUGAUAUACGUGAAAAAAAAAUGAUUUCCCUCCCGACACAUGAACUCCAGUGAUAUUGGAUUGACCAAAAAACCCCGCGACACUCGCGUAACGAUUUCAACGUUUAUUUUUAUUCAUCGAAUCCCAGCUUCGAUGACACAUUCUCCAUCUCUAUCUGUGAUCUAUGCCCAUCGAUCAAGCAGCUUCGCGACGCCUCUCUGCAUAUUUUCCUCGGAUUUAGAAAUGAAUGUAUAAAGUGUCGCUUUUUUGGCCAAUCCGAUGAAACCGCACCGACAGAGCUGCAAUUUAGACUUUUCUAAAAAAUAUUCCGUAUCGACGUGGGACUUCACCUCCGCAAGUAUCGUUUAUCUCGAGGAUUAAGGAAGACCUCCAGGUGAUGGAAUCAUCCCUGGCGAGGAUCGUGGAAUUCGAGGAAUUCAAGAAAUUCCUGCGUUUCUGAUCAGUCGAGCCAGUCGAUGCGCGGCCGCGAGUUCUCUUCCUAGGGGAUUCCUAAGGCGAAUCCCCCUCGUUUCCGGGAGCGAGACUAAUUCUAAGCAGCUUCGAGUCCAUUAAUUUGUACGAUUAACACACUAACGAUAAGUAGGGUACCGUAUCACCUGAGGCACGACUUAAUCUUCGCGCCCUCUCGCGAGCUGCGCAUUAUCGGACGAUCAUUUCGAGUCAUCAUCGCCGCGAAAGGCAGAACGCGAUAUCGAGAAAACCGAAAAAAAGACUCACCAAGAAAAAAACCAAGAGAAAAAUCCGCAAAGCGAAUCCGCGUUCCCACCGAAAGGACGAAUGCGCGAUGCAAGACUGAACAACGCUCCCUCCGGUCAGUGUCGGUUUUUUUUUUUCCUCGGAAAAAAAAAGGUGAAUAAUAAAAUAACUAGGUAAACAAAUGAGGCAUCGCUCUCGGGAGGCGAGGACGAAGCGAAAGAAAAAAACGAAAAAAAAAAUAAGUGAAAGAAGAAAGGAAGAAAUAGCGAAAUCCAAAAUCCACCGAAGGGCUUCGACUUCGAGCGGCUCCGUGGCAGAAGAACCGCGACUAGAGAGACUCUCCCGCACCUCUUGAAUGUACAUAUGUAUUUAAUGCGGUUUAGUUGUUUAGUUGUUCUCGACAAUAUUGAAUAAAAAAAAAAAGAAGAAGAAGAAGAGGAGAGAGGGCGUAACGGGGCAAGAGGGCGAGAUCCGCGGUGGCGAUUGUCGUUAUUUACCGUGCUUCUUUUUUACACGAUACGCGAUAUCUAACCAACACUCUGACCAACGGAACGACGUGACGCGAGACGCGGGGUGCGAUCCGCACACCGGAGAGCACGAUCUUAGGGUGUAAUAUACAAGUUAUAUAAUUAUAUACAUAUACGGAUAAUUACGGAUAUCGAGACCUAAAGAGUGGCGGCGUGUAAUAUAUACAUAAUGUAACGAGACCGGGACGGUAGUCGACGGAGGAAAGAAGAUGGCGGAAAUGGGAAAACGGCGGGCAAAGGGGAUAUCGAGCGUAACGAUUAAAUGUACCACUUGCGGCGUACGCAUUACACGUACUUGCGCCAUGUUACCGUAUACCGCGUUUUAAUGUAACCGUAACGUACGAUCUAGUCAGUGUACAAUUAUUGUGAAUUCGCCGUGUCGCGGGUGCACUCGGAGGGCCGCCACCCGGCCGUAUCUCCCCGUUUCGCGACUCCGGGAGAACUGGGACCUCGGCUGCUGCCACGAGGAAAGAACCUCGGUACUUCGGAAUCCCGCCGAUUUCGCGAGAAGGAAAAAUCCUUCGAGAUAGGACAGAAAGAGAGAGAGAGAGAGAGAGAGAGACGAAGACGACCUGGACAUAGACUUCGAAGAUAGCGUCGCAUACGUCGGAUACCGAAGGAGAAAUGGCAUUUCGCAGUCUUCUCCAAAGAAAGAGUGGAGAAAAAAGUCAAAGUGGAAACUUGGCGUAACUUCUCGAUGCUUCGGGUAUCGGGUCGUCCAACAAGUACCUGGGAUUUUUAGCGUUCAAAAUUUGACUCUUCGCUUGCAAAUACUCUUUCUACCCUGUGACCAUGUUAGGUGACAUUUCAAAGCGCAGACUUGGUCCUACAUUUUGCUAACAAUAAUUGUGUAUAAAUAUUGAUUUUUCUUCAUCAACGAUACGAAUGGGUUUCGUUACGUCAAGAUUUCGUUCGACCGAGGGGUUAGAGGAGAAGGGUCUAAAUUUACCGAAACACAGGGAGGGAGGGCGAUCGUUCUCGGCAGGGGGUCGAAUCGAAUCCAUUCCUCUCGGUUUUGGAGCCAAGGUUAGCCGACAUUAGCCAAAUUACCGAGGGUGCCUCCACCCCGUUUCGCGGAGGCUCCCCUCGAGCCGAUACGAAGCACGAGUCCGAUUUUAAAAGCGCCAUUUCUACGACUAAAGCGAUCCCUCGGCCCGGGAGUCGGCGAAUCGAAGACCUCCAGGGGGUGAUUUGAAAUAUACGGGGGUGAAUUUUGCGUCGAUGGGUGCAUGAUAAAUAGGCGAAGUUUCGCCACGCCGACGCCCGGCCUUAAAGCCCGAUUUACAUUCGAAUGCACCCCUUCGAAUUUGGAAAAAAAAAAGGGGUGGAUGCAUAAUUCACGCGUGUGUUUGCAGCCCCCAUGGUGGGCAGACAGGGGUGCAGGCGCACCUGGGGGGGUGGCGGAUCACCCCGGGGCAAAAAAGAGCCGGUCGCGUUACGGUAAUGACAAAAAAUGUACACUACGAGGGGAGAUGGAAUUAGUGCGCACCCCCGGGGGAUUUAUUGGAUCGAUUUGUCGCGUCCCGAUUCCGCGGCCGCCGCCCUAUCUAGGCGGAGGUCUCGUUAUCGGGGAGGAAACGAUCACGGAACGGAGGGUGUCUUCGGGGUGGGGAACACCUUCACGAGGCGACGAGGAAAGAGGGCGGGCUGCGAAUCGGCGUUCGCCCCUGGAAAAGGAAACCUGCGACAGACAGGAGAAAUCAAGCGACGUCUGGAUGGGCUUCAACAAAAAGGGGUAGAAAAUAUUUUAUACUAUUAUCCUGGGGUGGGUUGACCCGUUCAAACGCCAUAACCGUCAACGAGCUUUCCGUUUACCCCGCCACGAUCACCGGUGAUCGACCCGCGAUACAUGUUUUAAUAAAAUGAAAUUUACGCGAGGUGAGCGGACAGUCUGGUGGAAAUACGCAUGGUACCGAAUGCAUUAACCGAUCGCAGGAUGUGUGCGACGAAGUCACAAAAUUUAUUCCUGGCGAAAUAUCUUGGUCCUCCGUCGCGGCGGAGUGGGAACCUCCCCUAGGAAAAUCCCCAGUCCCGGGGGAAAAGCGUCGCCAAGUGCCGGGUAUUUUCCCCUAGACUUGGCAGCUGCGGAACAUGGGUUCUCCUGCGACUGCCGAAAUCGGGGCCCCUCUUCUUGGGAAAAUUCCAGGAAUCGAUGUCGUGCACCCUUCCUGGAGGUGUCCGGGAAUCGAACGCCUGAGAAGGUCGGAUGCUCGCACGGGAACCGCGGACUCGCGAUCUCGAUUCCCGGCUGGACGAUUCCUGGAGAGGGAAGGACGAUCCCUCGCCGCCGGACUAAUUUCGAAAAGGGAGACAACCUCUUCGAGGUGUCUUCGGGGGGUGCGCUUUCAUCCCUGUUGCGAGUCGUCCAGCGGAAUCGAGCGCAUUGUAAAUACUACUCGACGACGUCAUCCUCGAGGCGCGAGGAUGAGUACCUAAUUAAUGAUUAAGGGUCCUAGCGAUGUAAGGUCAUGAGACGCGACGCCAUUAACGCUGUUGAUAAUACAUGGACUUGUAUGCGACGCCGACGACUCGUCGUGGCUUUUCACGUCACCCCGUCGUCGGGUCCUCGAACAAGGCGAGGAGUCAUCUUCGCGACACCCAACCACACGGAAACACACACACACACGAUACACACGUCGGGCUCGCAUUCCUACAUACGUUCUGUCCCCGACCUAUCUUUCGUUUCACGCCUAGCGUGUAGAUAGGUUAAUGUACCGUUAAGUGUUUCGUCUAGCCUACUAUGUAUAUUGUAACUAUACUCAUAAAUAAAUGAUCA